AUUGAACGCUGGCGGCAGGCCUAACACAUGCAAGUCGAGCGAGCGGCGGACGGGUGAGUAAUGUAUGGGGACUGCCCGAUAGAGGGGGAUAACUACUGGAAACGGUAGCUAAUACCGCAUACUAUCGGAUAACCCAUAUGGGAUUAGCUAGUAGGUGCGGUAAUGGCUAACCUAGGCGACGAUCCCUAGCUGGUCGGAGAGGAUGAUCGGCCACAAUGGGACGUAGACACGGCCCAGAAUCCUACGGAGGCAGCAGUGGGGAAUAUUGCACAAUGGGAGAAAGCCUGAUGCAGCCAUGCCGCUUGUAUGAAGAAGGCCCUAGGGUUGAAAAGUACUUUCAGUCGGGAGGCGUUACCGACAGAAGAAGCACCGGCUAAAUCCGUGCCAGCAGCCGCGGUGAUUC
rnacentral:rRNA from 1 species